AUUGAACGCUGGCGGCAUGCCUUACACAUGCAAGUCGAACGGUAACAGGUCUUCGGAUGCUGACGAGUGGCGAACGGGUGAGUAAUACAUCGGAACGUGCCCGAUCGUGGGGGAUAACGAAGCGAAAGCUUUGCUAAUACCGCAUAAGAUCUACGGAUGAAAGCAGGGGACCGCAAGGCCUUGCGCGAACGGAGCGGCCGAUGGCAGAUUAGGUAGUUGGUGGGAUAAAAGCUUACCGAGCCGACGAUCUGUAGCUGGUCUGAGAGGACGACCAGCCACACUGGGACUGAGACACGGCCCAGACUCCUACGGGAGGCAGCAGUGGGGAAUUUUGGACAAUGGGCGAAAGCCUGAUCCAGCCAUGCCGCGUGCAGGAUGAAGGCCUUCGGGUUGUAAACUGCUUUUGUACGGAACGAAAAGACUCUGGUUAAUACCUGGGGUCCAUGACGGUACCGUAAGAAUAAGCACCGGCUAACUACGUG
rnacentral:rRNA from 1 species